rnacentral:rRNA from 1 species
GAUGAACGCUGACAGAAUGCUUAACACAUGCAAGUCUUUGGCGAAGCUGUGCUUGCACAGCCUAGCCAAGGCGGACGGGUGAGUAACGCGUAAGGAACUUGCCCUGCAGUCAGGGAUAACAGACGGAAACGACUGAUAAGACCUGGUAAAGUCAGGCGGACUCAUGUCCAGCCUGAUGAAAAGAGAUGCUGCAGGAGAGCCUUGCGUCCUAUUAGCUUGUUGGUGGGGUAACGGCCCACCAAGGCGAUGAUAGGUAGCCGGCCUGAGAGGGUGGACGGCCACAAGGGGACUGAGAUACGGCCCUUACUCCUACGGGAGGCAGCAGUGGGGAAUAUUGGACAAUGGGGGCAACCCUGAUCCAGCAAUUCUGUGUGCACGAAGAAGGUUUUCGGAUUGUAAAGUGCUUUCAGCAGGGAAGAAAAAAAUGACGGUACCUGCAGAAGAAGCGACGGCUAAAUACGUGCCAGCAGCCGCGGUAAUACGUAUGUCGCAAGCGUUAUCCAGAAUUAUUGGGCAUAAAGGGCAUCUAGGCGGCCAGAUAAGUCUGGGGUGAAAACUUGCGGCUCAACCGCAAGCCUGCCCUGGAAACUAUGUGGCUAGAGUACUGGAGAGGUGGACGGAACUGCACGAGUAGAGGUGAAAUUCGUAGAUAUGUGCAGGAAUGCCGAUGAUGAAGAUAGUUCACUGGACGGUAACUGACGCUGAAGUGCGAAAGCUAGGGGAGCAAACAGG